UUUGUGGUGGAACGCUUCUGUUUCUACAAUUCCCUUUCUCUCUCUUCUCUUGUUUCUGACGACUAGUUGGAGAAAGCACUGAAAGUGUGAGAAAUGGCGGCAAUAAAUGCAUCAAUUAUUACGUCUUCCACAAGCAUUUCUAGCCAUGCAGUGCGUUUCCAAUACUAAUACAACUCGACUUGUUUCAAACUCGCUUGGUGAGUCUCUUUGCUUUGGUCUCCGUUUCUCUUCAACUGCAAAUCCUUUAUGGGAUUUCGGUGGACUAACAGAUACUGUUUAGUGUUUACUAGAAUCUUUUCAUGACUUGAGGUUUGAGAUUCCAAAACAUUGUUCUUUGUGUUUCUUGGACUAUCCUGUAAUUACCUCAGUUGGAAAUUUAGAUUUUAGAACUAAAUAUUACACAAACUUCAAUUGUUACUCAUAAAUCUCUUCUCUUAGACUCUUACCUUAUAUAAAUAGACAGUUAGAAAUAUAUAUGCUUUUCUUACCAACAAAUUGCACUAAAUUUUGUGAGAAAACACUUCUGAAAUUAAAGAGAUAAUGGGGUUUCAUCUUAUUCCAAAGGGUAAAAGGACUGGACCGUAAAGAAUAGAAGUUCAGUCCAAGUUGUUACUCUACUACUUGAAGUAAAAUAGCGGCAACAUUUCAGUCUUUUUGGUUAUCAUUACGAUUCUUUAACAAGAAAGAUUGGCAAGGGGUAUAAUCUCUGUUUAUUGGUUUGCUUCUCUGUAGCUCUAUGUCAUUCUAAUUUACAUUACCAAUGUCUAAAGAUAAAUAAAAUUAAUUUAUCAUUCCAUUUUAAAUUCAUCAAAGAACAAAACCUUAUAGGAAUUCUAUUUCAAGAACAGGCAAUUAAUAUCUACAUUUUGUGCUAACCAUUUACAUAUGGUAAUUUACUUUGGUGAUGUGUGACCAAAUUUCUCAACUGCAUGACUGUAUCUUGAUACAUGAUAAGGGUAAUUUUGUAAUUAAGCCCUGACGAAACAAAAGGCGACGGACAUAACAAGGUUGUCAACUUCACUCAUGAGAGACAACCUUGUUGUAAAGUCUACAGCUCCAUCCCAUACCUGACAGCUGCAUCUUGGGCACAGUAAGUUGAAGACAAUAAGCUGAAGAUAGUAAGCUGAAGACAGUAAGCUAAAGACAGUAAACUAAAGAUAGUAAGCUGAAGAGAAUAAGCUGAAGGGGAUAUAUGAAUCUCUGACGAGUCUGACAUGGCCUUGCUUGGUCUUUAGGCAUGCGUGUAUAAGGAAAUAUCUUGCGCUCUACGCUUGAAGACUUCUAUAAUAAAAGGAUUCCGAAAGAUACACGAAUUUCAGCCCUACACUACUAUAAAAACCCUAAAACCCUCACAAACGAAGGUACGCACAAUUUCCUCACAGCUCUAACACUCUAGAGUUGUGAACAAGAGAUUUCUCUAACUUGACCAUUGGAGGGUAUUUGGCCGGUACCACACUAGUACUCCUCUUAAGGUUUUCAGCUUUUGCAUUGUGUAGGUUCUUAUCAGGAACACGUAAGGACCGUGUAGCUUACUGACGAUUUUUCGGCAUCAUCAAUACAAAUUUGGGUACAAGGUGGAAACAGGAUUGAAAACCCCAAAAUCAAAAUUAAAAAUAGCUAGAAGUUUAUAUCCUAGACUUCAAAUAUACAAUAACUUCAUGUUUUCUUACGCAGCUAGCAGUUUCAUCGGAAAUUCAUUGCCACGGUUUAUCCUAAUGAAGAAGAGAGUUGUCAAUAUUAGUGGGGAAGUUGUUGGGCUUUGUAUAGCCUAGUUUUGUUUGAUCUGGUUCAACGACCCGACUUGACCCGAAUAAUAUUGCGUGGUUUUUAAUGAGAGAUUUAUUGAGACUUAGUCCAUGGAGUGGAGGCUUGGGCUGAUAGACUCAAGUUGGAGUGCUCAUGGACAAGCCUUUGGGGGUCCGAGGGCAAUGCCCCCGGGAAAAUUUUUUUGGCCUGUUUAGCCCAUUGUAAAGCCACCUUUUGUAAUUAGGGUUUUUUAUAGAGUCAGUUGUCGUGUCUUAUAUAUAGAUAAAAUAUUGUAGCCGCAUUUGGUGUUGGAUUCUUCCCUGAAAAUAGUGAAAUCUCUGCAACUCCGUGGAUGUAGGCAAAUUGCCGAACCACGUAAAUAUUGUCUUGUGCGUGUAAUUGUUUUUCUUUGGCGUGUGUUUGUUUUUCUCUAUUUUUGUUUCUCACAGGUUGUGAAUUCGGUGUAAUUCCUUACAGAAGUCAGAGCUGCAGCAGCUGUUACGACUAGUCCUGUUGAGGAAACCAAAGAGUUUACCCUUCCUUCAUGGACUAUGUUUGAACUUGGCAAGGCCCCAGUAUAUUGGAAAACCAUGAAUGGUCUUCCUCCUUCUUCUGGGGAAAAGCUAACGAUUUUCUACAAUCCCACUGCGACCAACCUUGUUCCCAAUGAAGAAUUUGGGAUUGCUUUUAAUGGUAAUAUUUUUUACAAUAUAAGACCUUAUAAUAUCUUGUACAUUGCAAUCAGUUUUCUUGUCCAUGUCAAUUAAAGCAAGCACAAAUAUGAAAGUCAUAAUGAAAACAGAAGGUACAUUACUGAAAAGAAUUGUAGUAUCUGUGAAAUUGUAUAUAAUUAAUGUUAUAUUUUGAA